AAAACAAGCAUUUAAACAAUUGUCGAAAUAAGAAUUCACGGGUGACUUAAUGUAUUUGUAUACGUAUUAAAGUAUGGAACUGAUAUUUCUCUUUUGCCCUCUUUAUUUACAGGCCUACCCAUACCUCGGUUUCGGCACACCACAACCGACUUAGUUUAUUAUACUAAUGGUUAUAGGUAUAGGUCCACAAUUAUACAGCUUUCUU